CACGUAGGGGGCGAGCGUUGUCCGGAUUUAUUGGGCGUAAAGAGCUCGUAGGUCGCUCGGUAAGUCGGGUGUGAAAUUUCGAGGCUCAACCUCGAGACGCCACCUGAUACUGCUGUGGCUAGAGUCCGGUAGGGGAGCGUGGAAUUCCUGGUGUAGCGGUGAAAUGCGCAGAUAUCAGGAGGAACACCAGCGGCGAAGGCGGCGCUCUGGGCCGGUACUGACACUGAGGAGCGAAAGCGUGGGGAGCAAACAGG
rnacentral:rRNA from 1 species